rnacentral:snRNA from 1 species
GUGCUCGCUUUGGCAGCACAUAUACUAAAAUUGGAACGAUACAGAGAUUAGCAUGGCCCCUGUGCAAGGAUGACACACAAAUUAAUGAAGUGUUCCAUAUUUUU